rnacentral:lncRNA from 1 species
GGUUUUUUUGUUGUUGUUGUUGUUUUGGUUUUUUCUUUUUUUUUUCAGGAUGGGUUUUUAAGGAGAAAGUGGGGGCGUCUGUGUUAGGAGAAGUUGUGACAAGAUACCAUGAAAACAGCAACUCAGAGAGAAAGGAGAGUGAGAGCGCCUUGUUUUGGUUCAUCUCAACGGUAUGCUGUCCAUCGAGGUGAGUAGGUUAUUUAUGAUUGGCAUCCGCAAUCAGGAAGCAGAUCGCUAUCUGAGAUUCCAGCUGUGAAAUGGUCCCACCCAAAUUUAGGGUGAGUCUUCU